rnacentral:rRNA from 2 species
AAUCCAUAGGUUAAUGAGGCGAACCGGGGGAACUGAAACAUCUAAGUACCCCGAGGAAAAGAAAUCAACCGAGAUUCCCCCAGUAGCGGCGAGCGAACGGGGAGGAGCCCAGAGCCUGAAUCAGCAUGUGUGUUAGUGGAAGCGUCUGGAAAGGCGCGCGAUACAGGGUGACAGCCCCGUACACAAAAGCGCAUGUGCUGUGAGCUCGAUGAGUAGGGCGGGACACGUGGUAUCCUGUCUGAAUAUGGGGGGACCAUCCUCCAAGGCUAAAUACUCCUGACUGACCGAUAGUGAACCAGUACCGUGAGGGAAAGGCGAAAAGAACCCCGGCGAGGGGAGUGAAAAAGAACCUGAAACCGUGUACGUACAAGCAGUGGGAGCCCCACCACUAAGCCAGUGGUGAACUCCACAUACGCAUCCUUUGCUGAGGAUACGGUUAACGGAGCGAAAGCGACGUUCAACCGCAAAAGAAGCAGAGGGGGCUUAGUGGUGGGGUGACUGCGUACCUUUUGUAUAAUGGGUCAGCGACUUAUAUUCUGUAGCAAGGUUAACCG